rnacentral:rRNA from 1 species
GACGAACGCUGGCGGCGUGCUUAACACAUGCAAGUCGAACGGAAAGGCCCUUCGGGGUACUCGAGUGGCGAACGGGUGAGUAACACGUGGGUGAUCUGCCCUGCACUUUGGGAUAAGCCUGGGAAACUGGGUCUAAUACCGAAUAGGACCACGCGCUUCAUGGUGUGUGGUGGAAAGCUUUUGCGGUGUGGGAUGGGCCUGCGGCCUAUCAGCUUGUUGGUGGGGUAAUGGCCUACCAAGGCGACGACGGGUAGCCGGCCUGAGAGGGUGACCGGCCACACUGGGACUGAGAUACGGCCCAGACUCCUACGGGAGGCAGCAGUGGGGAAUAUUGCACAAUGGGCGCAAGCCUGAUGCAGCGACGCCGCGUGAGGGAUGACGGCCUUCGGGUUGUAAACCUCUUUCAAUAGGGACGAAGCGCAAGUGACGGUACCUAUAGAAGAAGCACCGGCCAACUACGUG